AGAGUUUGAUCCUGGCUCAGAACGAACGUUGGCGGCGUGGAUUAGGCAUGCAAGUCGAACGAGAAAGCUCCCUUCGGGGAGUGAGUACAGUGGCGAACGGGUGAGUAACGGGUGGGAAACCUGCCUUUCUGCGGGGGAUAACAUUCCUAACGGGGUGCUAAUACCGCAUGGUUCGUCGCAUCGCAUGGUGCGACGAUAAAGAUGGCCUCUACAUGUAAGCUGUCGCAGAAAGAUGGUCCCGCCUCCCAUUAGCUUGUUGGUGGGGUAAUGGCCUACCAAGGCGACGAUGGGUAGCCGGCCUGAGAGGGUGUCCGGCCACACUGGGACUGAGAUACGGCCCAGACUCCUACGGGAGGCAGCAGUCGAGAAGCUUCGGCAAUGGGCGAAAGCCUGACCGAGCGACGCCGCGUGAGGGAUGACGGCCCUAGUGGUUGUAAACCUCUGUCAGGAGAGAAUAAAGCUCGAUAGUAAAUAGCUAUUGAGGUUGAAGGUACCUCCAAAGGAAGCUCCGGCUAACUCCGUGCCAGCAGCCGCGGUAAUACGGAGGGAGCAAACGUUGUUCGGAUUUACUGGGUGUAAAGGGUGCGUAGGCGGCCCUGUGUGUCAGAGGUGAAAUCCCACGGCUCAACCGUGGAAUUGCCUUUGAAACUGCAGGGCUUGAGUCCGAGAGGGGAAGGUGGAAUUCCUGGCGUAACGGUGAAAUGUGCAGAUAUCAGGAAGAACACCAGUGGCGAAGGCGGCCUUCUGGCUCGGAACUGACGCUGAGGCACGAAAGCUAGGGUAUCGAACGGGAUUAGAUACCCCGGUAGUCCUAGCCGUAAACGAUGUCCACUAGGUGUUGGAGGUCCUACCCCUUCAGUGCCGCAGCUAACGCAUUAAGUGGACCACCUGGGGAGUACGCUCGCAAGGGUGAAACUUAAAGGAAUUGAUGG
rnacentral:rRNA from 1 species